UCCUAGCUGGAUGAUCACACGCUCAUCGUCAUUGCUCCGCAACCUUCGAAGGCUGGUUCUAAAGAAUUGUGCUCUGUGCCAGCAACUGCCACCCUUGGGAAUGCUACCACAACUAGAUUACCUCUGCAUUAAAGGUGCUUCUGCAGUCAUGAGCAUCGGGCGUGAAUUCUUGUUGCUGGGCUCUUGCUUCUCCUCCUACUUUCCUAAGCUAGAGACACUUGCAUUCGAAGACAUGCCUAAUUGGGAAGAAUGGUGGUGGCGGCGGGAGGAGGAGGACAACCAAACAACAUCGUUGCUACCUUCUCUCAAGAUAUUGGCCAUUGGCGAAUGUCCGAAAUUGAGGUCUCUUCCGGAGAGCCUCCUUUGUCAUGCCACUGCCCUGAAGAGACUAAAAAUUAAAGGUGCUCAUAGCCUGAGAGAAAUACAGAAUCUCCACUCUCUUACAGAAUUGCUCCUGAUGGACAACUCCAGUUUGGAGAGAGUGUCGAACUUUUCGGCACUGAAAGACCUAUCGGUUCGUAAUUGCGAGGAGUUGAAGGUUGUGGAGGGUGUGGAUGCCAUAGAGCACAUAGAGCUCGAUGAUCGAGAAGCUGAAAACUCUCUUCCGGAGUGGUUAGCAGGUGCUGGUGAAGAACGACCGUGUUUCCCUUCGCUCCGCAAGUUGAUUCUCAAAAACAAAAUAUAUCAUGCCACCGCCCUCGAGGGAUUACAAAUUAGUACGACCUACAGCCUGGACCAUCGCACUUUUUCAGAGAGAUGGUUGAAAGAAGAAAUGGAAUUGCCAUAUUUCAUUCCGGGAGGUGCUGCUAAAAAAUAAUCACGUUUCCCUUUGCUACCCAUGCGUGCUCAAGUCGAGCGCGGAUCCCCUGCGGUGAGCACGGCAAGGUGUGGACCCAUGGAUGGCGUCCAUCAUCGGAUGGAUGGCCAUUAAAUGAAACAUUCGUUGUGCAUCGUUUCAGGUAUCUCUCAUCUUCAACUAAUGAUUGUGAACUGCAACUAGCAAUUAGAAAGGCCCAACAGAUAAGCUUAAGCCCCAUUUUAUGGAGGCUUCUCUCCAACCGCGUUAGUAAUUGUGAUUCAAGCAGUCUUGGAACAAGCAAUUACCCAUCUAUGAGAAAGGAUUGAUGACUGAAAGGCGGUGGCAUUCCAGAUUUCAUUAUUUCACCGGCUUAGACCGAAGAAGUCAGCAUCAUGGACCUAACCUUAUGAGAUCAGCGUAUCAUAUAUCUGAGAUGUAAGAUAUCAUCGACCACCGUAGUUGGGGGUAUAGACUGGAAAGAUGUGAAUGAAAGAAUGGAUUCUGUGAACUUGCACAUUAUCAGACUCUGGAACUAUUUUUGCGCACCAUAUUUUUUAGGAUUUGAUCAGGGAAAUCGUGUCCAACAUAUGGUAACCAAAAUUUGGAGGGACAAGGACGGGAAGGAAAUGAUUUUUUUUUUGGACUGUGUGUGCAUGAAUGAAUGAACAGAUGGACUCAUGAAUGCGUAAAUCAAAUUUUGUACUUUGAUGUGAAGGCAUGUAACAGCAAAAAAAAAUUCUCCCAACUCAUUCAAGCAUUCCACGAGAUUUCUCUUCCGCAAAUUGGCACUCAAAAACACAAGAUUCUGAAGCGGAUGAAGUGUGUGGAUACGAAGUAGACGAUUGAA